UACAGAGGUCUCAAGCGUUGUUCGGAUUCAUUGGGCGUAAAGGGUGCGUAGGUGGCGUGGUAAGUCGGGUGUGAAAUUUCGGAGCUUAACUCCGAAACUGCAUUCGAUACUGCCGUGCUUGAGGACUGGAGAGGAGACUGGAAUUUACGGUGCAGCAGUGAAAUGCGUAGAGAUCGUAAGGAAGACCAGCGGCGAAGGCGGGUCUCUGGACAGUUCCUGACACUGAGGCACGAAGGCCAGGGGAGCAAACGGG
rnacentral:rRNA from 1 species